ACGUUGAGAUAUCAACUGAUGUAAGAAGGGCUAUAUAAACACAUUUGAUUUGAUUUAGUAAUGUGGAGCCUGCCUGUAUUUCCUUAAACCUUUCGAGCAAUACCUGUCAUUCAGAAGAAAAACAAAUAUUUCAUAACAUAUUUUCUUGCCCUCAUUAGCGCCUCACCACUAGAACCGCAGUGCAAAUAUCCAACACAUGGGCUAGUCCACCAUCCAGAUCAGAGUUGUAAAAACAAUCAAGCCGGUCAAAUGGAAGUUGUUCGUUUGGCACUGUUGAUCUACACAGAGGUGGCUUAAAAUGUCAGGAAGACAAGAGAAGGAGCAUACUGGAAUCUAUUCUGGAUGUUCAGAACUGUUCCACUCUGCCCUGGUGUCUUCCUGCAGUCGACCAGCAGCACAGACACCCUCUUCAGACCCAGCAGUAAGGCGCUACCAGGAGAGUUGUGACCAGGGGACUCUGGCAGGUUGGAGGGGGACGGGCUAGCUCUGUCCUGGUGACCACAGGAAUAAUUGUACAUAGAAUAUCAUUAGACCAAACAUUUGAUUACUUUAGUCUAAAUCUCUGAUUGAUUGGGUGCAUCCUUAUAAUAACUACUUUCUCCUGAAGUAUGUAAUUGUUCACCACUUUCCAUAAAUGUCUAGUAUUUUUUAUUUAUUUUUUUUAAAUCACUUUGGCAAAUUUUUCAAAUAGAAGUGAUAUUUUUUACAAUGUCUUAUGUUAAGAACCUUUGAUUGAGCAUUCAUAUGCAUUGAACAAAUUAGCGGAUCAAUUUAGUUCAUACGUGUUAGGAGAGCUUAACAGUUUCUGGAAAGAGGAGCUCCACCGUCUCCUCCCCUUCCAAAAUGUGAAAGAUUGUAACACCUGCUAAAUCACUUUGCACCAUACCUGCUGGAGCACGCGCUCCAGCAGGUAUAUUUCACUGGUCAUCCCCAAAGCCAACACCUCCUUUGGCUGCCUUUCCUUACAGUUCUCUGCUGCCAAUGACUGGAACAAAUUGCAAAAAUCACUGAAGUUGGAGACUUACAUCUCCCUCAAUAACUUUAAGCGUCAGCUGUCAGAGCAGCUUACCGAUUGCUGCAGCUAUACACAGCCCAUCUGUAAUUAGAACAUCCAACCAACUACCUCAUCCCCAUAUAUCUAUUUUUUUCUGCUCUUUUGCACACCAGUAUUUCUACUUGCACAUCCUCAUCUGCACAUAUCACUCCAGUGUAAAUUGCUAAAUUGUAAUUACUUCGCCACUAUUGGCCUAUUUAUUGCCUUACCUCCUUACUUCAUUUGCACAUACUGUGUACAGAUUUUUCUAUUGCGUUAUUGACUGUACGUUUGUUUAUCCCAUGUGUAACUCUGUUGUUUUUGUCGCACUGGUUUGCUUGAUCUUGGCCAGGUUGCAGUUGUAAAUGAGAACUUGUUCUCAACUGGCCUACCUGAUUAAAUAAAGGUGAAAUAAACACAA